rnacentral:rRNA from 1 species
GACGAACGCUGGCGGCGUGCCUAAUACAUGCAAGUAGAACGCUGAAGGAGGAGCUUGCUUCUCCGGAUGAGUUGCGAACGGGUGAGUAACGCGUAGGUAACCUGCCUGGUAGCGGGGGAUAACUAUUGGAAACGAUAGCUAAUACCGCAUAAGAGUAGAUAUUGCAUGAUAUCUGCUUGAAAGGUGCAAUUGCAUCACUACCAGAUGGACCUGCGUUGUAUUAGCUAGUUGGUGAGGUAACGGCUCACCAAGGCGACGAUACAUAGCCGACCUGAGAGGGUGAUCGGCCACACUGGGACUGAGACACGGCCCAGACUCCUACGGGAGGCAGCAGUAGGGAAUCUUCGGCAAUGGACGGAAGUCUGACCGAGCAACGCCGCGUGAGUGAAGAAGGUUUUCGGAUCGUAAAGCUCUGUUGUAAGAGAAGAACGAGUGUGAGAGUGGAAAGUUCACACUG